rnacentral:lncRNA from 1 species
CUUUUUUAAUUUUAUUUUCCUUAUUCCUAAUAUUUUUUUAUCAAACUGUGUUCUGUCAUGUGAUUCGAGAUGGCGACCGUUAUACCGGCAAAAUGUUGAUAUUAGUCUAAACUAAACUGGAGGUUUUUAAUAUUCAUAUUUAUGCAUUACUUUAGUUUAAAUGAUAAUAAUAAGAGAACAGACGUUUUUAUAACUUAUUUGCUGAUAUACCAAAACAUUAUAGCAUAGUUAACGAUAUUUUCGCAAUCACGAC